CUUUGUGUUGGUGGUUAUUAUUGUGCACCCUGCUUUUUGUAUUAUCUGUAAUAUUUUUUUUUUCUUCCCAUUUACAUUCUUUUAUCUAAAUCUUCAUGAAUUUUUUUGCCAUGACAACCAAUACGUAAUGGGAGGAAUCACUAAGUUGUUAAAAUUGUGCAUUACGUUCUUACAAGCUUUCCUUUAUACAAAAUUUGCAGUGGUGUUCAAAU